ensembl:snRNA U6 U6 spliceosomal RNA
GUGCUUGAUUUGGCAGCACAUGUACUAAAACUGGAAUGAUAUAGAGGUCAGAAUGGCCCCUGUACGAGGAUAACACAAAAAUUCAUGAAGUGUUCCAUGUUAAA